rnacentral:rRNA from 1 species
AUUGAACGCUGGCGGCAGGCCUAACACAUGCAAGUCGAGCGAGCGGCGGACGGGGGAGUAAUGUCUGGGAAACUGCCGGAUGGAGGGGGAGAACUACUGGAAAAGGGAGCUAAUACCGCAUACCAUCAGAGGUGAGCAGAUGGGAUUAGCUAGUAGGUGGGGUAACGGCUCACCUAGGCGACGAUCCCUAGCUGGUCUGAGAGGAGGACCAGCCACACUGGAACUGAGACACGGUCCAGACUCCUACGGGAGGCAGCAGUGGGGAAUAUUGCACAAUGGGCGCAAGCCGGAUUCAGCCAUGCCGCGUGUGUGAAGAAGGCCUUCGGGUUGUAAAGCACUUUCAGCGGGGAGGCGUUACCCGCAGAAGAAGCACCGGCUAACUCCGUGCCAGCAGCCGCGGUAAUUC